rnacentral:rRNA from 1 species
UACGUAGGGGCCGAGCGUUGUCCGGAGUUACUGGGCGUAAAGCGCGCGCGGGUGGCUCAUUACGCCCGGCGUGAAAGCCCCCGGCCUAACCGGGGAGGGUCGUCGGGGACGGGUGAGCUUGAGGGUAUCAGGGGCUGGUGGAAUUCCCGGUGUAGUGGUGAAGUGCGUAGAGAUCGGGAGGAACACCCGUGGCGAAGGCGGCCAGCUGGGAUACACCUGACACUGAGGCGCGAAGGCGUGGGGAGCGAACGGGAUUAGAUACCCCCGUAGUCC